rnacentral:rRNA from 1 species
AAAAAGAAGAAAAAACUGGUUGUUCCCCCGACGCGAGUAACCUCGACGAGCACAGAACGCCGCCCGCCGCCCGUCGUUCGCUGGGUUUCCUCGGAGUUUGUCUGACUUCUCCAAUCAGAGCAUUGCAGAGGGAAAAUAGUAAUGGAGUUGAUAAAUGCUAACCCUGUGAUUCAUGAGAAAAGGGAGAGGCGCAUCCGGCAGGCACCAGAAAACAUAGAUGAAAAUGCACCAGAGGCCAUAGACCAGCUUGAAAUAUUUGAUCAUAUUAGAGACAUAAAGGACCCAGAACAUCCAUACUCAUUGGAAGACCUUAAUGUGGUAAAUGAAGACUCAGUCGAAAUCAAUGAUGAACUUAGUCAUGUCAGGGUUACUUUCACCCCAACAGUGGAGCAUUGCAGUAUGGCCACUAUCAUUGGCCUUUGCUUACGUGUGAAGCUCAUGCGGAGUCUUCCACCUCGUUACAAGGUGGACAUACGGUUGACGCCUGGAUCACAUGCAACUGAAGCUGCCGUGAACAAGCAACUGAGUGACAAAGAACGCGUCGCGGCCGCGCUGGAGAAUUCAAACCUGCUGGACAUAGUGGAGGAGUGCCUGUCACCGACGCUCGGCUGAGACCUGAGUAGGACUGGAAACCAGUGCGUGGAUACAUUCCCAGACUACAGGAGAUUACAUAUGCUAUGCCACUCAGCAUAUUAUUACUUUGAUUGAUGUUUGAGAAGAAUUCUUUAAUUAGGUGGCGCAGGACGUGUGCAUGAAUUCUGAGGCCCUGCGCCUCUCUGAGAACGUUGCUGCCGCUUAAGCUCUCGUAUCGUAGUGCCAGUAUGUAGGUCGUCGAGUGCUGCUAUUUUUUUCUUGGAGGAACUGGGUGCUGCUAUGUUUUUGUACGGUGCUGAUUGUACAUCGAGGGAUGUAGUGUGGUGGUCCGUGCUGUAAAAUUUUGUCAUGUUUACGGAGAAGGGUCUAUGUUUAUCCUUUUUUUAACCUCAUGUUCUAUCCUUUUUAGUCAUGCUUCAGUUGCUGAAUAAAAUAAAAGAGC